GCGGGCGGGCGCGCGGGUGUCCCCGGGCGUGGGGCAAGAACUUGGAAAGAUGGCUGUGUUCUGCACUGUGAAAUCAAAGUCCAGAGACCAUUUAAAGGACAAUAAUUGCAGAAAACAAAUAAAGAAGAGGAGCCUGAAAGAAUACAUAGAGAUUUUGAAACAAGAAGUGUGAAACAAAUCCUUGUUCUGCUCAGGCCCCCAGCUGUGCAACAUGAUCUAAAACUCUUAAUUAGACUUGUAAUACUUUGACAAAUUAUUCCAGCUGACCUAACCCUGAGAUGUAAAAUACGUGAUGUCCACACAACUAUGCUUGCAACUGUCACCUGCUUCAAACUUUUUAAGAAUUAACCCUGGGGGUUUGCCAGUAUUAGAGCUCACCUAUAUGAAUGACCUUGACCAGUAAAGACUAAUUUAGAAAACAGACUAAAGGAGAGGAACCUAGACAUGUACACCUGCUUCGGAAAACGCUGCAAUUAAAAUGGAUUGCACAUCAACACUAAUAAUUUGAUGACUUUGGAGGUGUGUCCCUUCAAAACUAGUGAGUCCAUUUCAUUUAAUUUUGGCAAUUUUCAAUAGUUCGUUUUGUUAUUCUGUUCCAGGUCUUCUACUGUUACAUGCAUUUGAAACAGAUUUUCCAAUAUAUGCUCUGUAAAGAAAGCUCCUUCUGUUUGGUUUUUUUCAUUUUUAUUUCUGACAGCUUCUCAUGGCGGCACUAAAAAGUCUUCAUGACACUCACAAAA